CAGUCGCCGCGGUAAUACGUAGGGUGCGAGCGUUAAUCGGAAUUACUGGGCGUAAAGCGUGCGCAGGCGGUUGUGUAAGACAGGUGUGAAGUCCCCGGGCUUAACCUGGGAACUGCGCUUGUGACUGCACAGCUAGAGUAUGGCAGAGGGGGGUGGAAUUCCACGUGUAGCAGUGAAAUGCGUAGAGAUGUGGAGGAACACUGAUGGCGAAGGCAGCCCCCUGGGCCAAUACUGACGCUCAUGCACGAAAGCGUGGGGAGCAAACAGGAUUAGAUACCCCUGUAGUCCCUGUCUCUUAUAC
rnacentral:rRNA from 1 species